rnacentral:rRNA from 1 species
GAAGCUUUUCAGUAGUUUACUACAGAAAAUGACUGAGCGGCGAACGGGUGAGUAACGCGUGAGCAAUCUACCUUAGUUACAGGGAUAGCCCGAGGAAACUCGGAUUAAUACCUGAUAUUCUUUAUUUCUCGCAUGAGAAUAAAAGGAAAGGUCAGCCGAACUAAGAUGAGCUCGCGUUCUAUCAGCUAGUUGGUGAGGUAAAAGCUUACCAAGGCUACGACGGAUAGCUGGUCUGAGAGGACGAUCAGCCACACUGGGACUGAGACACGGCCCAGACUCCUACGGGAGGCUGCAGCAGGGAAUAUUGUGCAAUGAACGAAAGUUUGACACAGCGACACCGCGUGUGGGAUGACGGAUCUAGGUUUGUAAACCACUUUCAGGAGGGAAGAAAAUGACGGUACCUCCACAAGA